rnacentral:pre_miRNA from 1 species
GUCAUACUCCCUCCAUUCUGAAUUACUUGUCGCACGUAUGGAUGUAUCUAGAUGUAUUUUAGUUCUAGAUACAUCCAUUUCAACGACGAGUAAUUUGGAACGGAGGGAGUACAUA